rnacentral:rRNA from 1 species
UACGUAGGUGGCAAGCGUUGUCCGGAAUUAUUGGGCGUAAAGCGCGCGCAGGCGGUCCCUUAAGUCUGAUGUGAAAGCCCACGGCUCAACCGUGGAGGGUCAUUGGAAACUGGGGGACUUGAGUACAGAAGAGGAAAGCGGAAUUCCACGUGUAGCGGUGAAAUGCGUAGAGAUGUGGAGGAACACCAGUGGCGAAGGCGGCUUCUGGUCUGUAAACUGACGCUGAGGCGCGAAAGCGUGGGGAGCAAAACAGG